UACGUAGGGUGCAGGCGUUAAUCGGAAUUACUGGGCGUAAAGCGUGCGCAGGCGGCUUCUUAAGUCAGAUGUGAAAUCCCCGGGCUCAAUCUGGGAACUGCGUUUGAAACUGGGGAGGCUGGAGUGCGGCAGAGGGGGGGUGGAAUUCCAGGUGUAGCGAUGAAAUGCGUAGAUAUCUGGAGGAACAUCAGUGGCGAAGGCGACACCCUGGACUCAUACUGACACUGAGGUGCGAAAGCGUGGGGAGCAAACAGG
rnacentral:rRNA from 1 species